rnacentral:rRNA from 1 species
CAAUAGCGUAUACUAAUGUUGUUGCAGUUAAAAAGCUCGUAGUUGAACUUCUGGUAGGAGUGUCCCGGCCUUUUUGUUUUUACAAAUUGUAUGCCGUGUGACAUCUCUGGCCAUCCUUCUUCUUUGUUUAAAGAAGAUCUUUCACUGUAAAAAAAUUAGGGUGUUCAAAGCAAAAGUUUCUUUGGAAUAUAUUAGUAUGGGAUGAUAAGAUAGGCUCUAGAUGCUAUUUUGUUGGUUUGCACAUUUAGAGAAUGAUUAACAGGGACAGUUGGGGGUAUUCGUAUUUACAUGUCAGAGGUGAAAUUCUUGGAUUUUGGAAAGACGAACUACUGCGAAAGCAUUUACCAAGGAUGUUUUCAUUAA